GUCCAGAAUAGAAUUUUAGUUCAACUUUAAAUUUUCCUAAAGGACACCUAACCCUAAUGAAAGUUUAAAUGUUACUCUAAAGAGGGACAGCUCUUUAGAAAUAGGAUACAGCCUUUUAUAAUGAGUAAGUCAUUUUAAACCCAUAGUUGGCCUAAAAGCAGCCAUCAAUUAAGAAAGCGUUAAAGCUCAACAGUCAAAAUUAACUUAAUUCCUAGAUUUAAGAACGAACUCUUAUAACCCCUAACUGGACUAAUCUAUAAACUUAUAGAAGAAAUAAUGCUAAUAUGAGUAACAAGAAUUUAAUUCUCCUUGCACAAGCCUAUAUCAGAUCGGAUGCCCGCUGAUAGUUAACAACUAGUAAUAGAAAAACUCUACAAAUUAACUCUCUAUUAACUUCUACUGUUGACCCAACACAGGUGUGCACUUAUAGGAAAGAUUAAAAGAAGGAAAAGGAACUCGGCAAACUUUAACCCCGCCUGUUUACCAAAAACAUCACCUCUAGCAUUACUAGUAUUAGAGGCACUGCCUGCCCAGUGACAAACGUUUAACGGCCGCGGUAUCCUGACCGUGCAAAGGUAGCAUAAUCACUUGUUCCUUAAUUAGGGACUAGCAUGAAUGGCAACACGAGGGUUUAACUGUCUCUUCCUUCCAAUCAGUGAAAUUGACCUCCCCGUGAAGAGGCGGGGAUAAAACAAUAAGACGAGAAGACCCUAUGGAGCUUUAAUUAUUUAAUUCAAUAUUUUCACAACUUCACUCCACAGGAGCUUAACCAAGAAAAUCCCUGAAUUAAAAAUUUUGGUUGGGGUGACCUCGGAGCAAAAACCAACCUCCGAAUGAUUAAAGCCUAGACUUAACAAGUCAAAGCAUUAGAAAUCAUAAAUUGACCCAAAUCCUUUUGAUCAACGGAACAAGUUACCCUAGGGAUAACAGCGCAAUCCUAUUUUAGAGUUCCCAUCGACAAUAGGGUUUACGACCUCGAUGUUGGAUCAGGACAUCCCAAUGGUGCAACCGCUAUUAAAGGUUCGUUUGUUCAACGAUUAAAG
rnacentral:rRNA from 1 species